CAACCAUAUCACAUUAAAACACCAGUUCUUGUACGAUCACCAAAGUUAAGCAAUGUCAAGCUUGGUUAGUACAUAGAUGGGUAAUCAUUUGGGAAUAUCAGGUAUUGUA